GACAGAGGGUGCAACCGUUGUUCGGAAUUACUGGGCGUAAAGGGCGCGUAGGCGGCCUGCUAAGUCGGAUGUGAAAUCCCUCGGCUCAACCGAGGAACUGCAUCCGAUACUGGCGGGCUUGAAUCCGGGAGAGGGAUGUGGAAUUCCAGGUGUAGCGGUGAAAUGCGUAGAUAUCUGGAGGAACACCGGUGGCGAAGGCGGCAUCCUGGACCGGUAUUGACGCUGAGGAGCGAAAGCCAGGGGAGCAAACGGG
rnacentral:rRNA from 1 species